UCUGCUCUUCACUACUUUGUUGACACCGGUGUACCUGCCCCCCCCCCACCCCCCGCUAACCAAAAAUCACACUUAAAUCUCAACUUUGUUUUUGUCUUAAUACCAGCGUUGACGCAAUGUCCACUCUUUCUGUGGCCUCGGCUCGCUCCGGUCGCCUGACGUUUCUAACGGAUUUUAAGGUUCUUCGUCGCGCCGGGGAUUCUGCCGCGAUUUCAGCGGAUCGUCCAGCCCCGCGGACCGACGCGAGAGCUUCGCUUUGCCUAUCGCAUCCCGGUGACGUUGCCAAUCUCCAAAAAGGACAAUAUUGCAGUUCGCAGGUCAGAGGUCAGCAAAACUUGUAUGUAGAGGGUUUUUUUUUUUUUUUUUUUUUGGUAAAGCUGUACACCGUUCACAAUUGCACAUGAAGCCAUCGAGCUAUUGAUAGCGAUGGCCGCUUGGAUAUUAACGUCAGUACUGCUAAAAUUAUAACUCUGCACUUAAACGCGGCAACCCAAAUAGUAGUAAUAAUACGCCACAUCGGCUCUGCGGUGUAACCUUACGUCUGUGAUCAUGAUCAAAGCCAUUUCACAUGCCACCACUGCAAUUAUGUUUAUUAAAACCAAAAUUACAUCUCCUCUGCAUGCACUUAUAUGAAAUAUAUACAGUGUUACACGUACAGUUCGCUGGAUUUCUGUAAUCAUGGAUUUUUUUUUUUUUACUGUAUUCAGUGCAUACAUUUGUACUUUCACAAUUUAAAUAAUCGUUCGGUUUAAUGUUUGAAAUAAAGCAUAAUCUGCUGCUUCACUUUUUGCUGUUUUCAUUUAUAUAACAAUGCAAAUAAAAGAUAGUGGACAAAGUUCUGGUGGUUUAUUU